rnacentral:lncRNA from 1 species
GAGAAUUUGGUUCUCCACUCCAAACAAAACGGGCCACAAACUUCUUUACCAAAAGACUGGGGGUCUACCAGCUUCAGGAGGGUCAGAGAAGAGCUACUUGAGAGAAUCUACAUGCUCUCACCCUCUCCUUGUGAGAGAUAACCUCUGCUGUCGUCGUGAGAGAGUCUUUUUUUUUUUCUUUUGAGUAAUGAGGGAGGAUGUUAACCACCCAACUUUUAUUUGAAUCGUGAGAGAGUCUUUCGAAGCAUUUCUGCUGCGUAGAAGGCAUGAUUGUGUUCCCUUGCAGCAGACUCUUCAUAGAUUUGCGGUCCCUUCGGUUGAGGUCGCCUUGUCUCCGGCCACGGACCACAAAUGGCAUGCACAAGAGACUGAUUCUCUUGUCACGGGAACAGAGAAAUCCUUUCACUUUUGAAGCAUUAAUUGUUGGGAGCGUUAGAGAAGCUUCGUGCUCGGUAUGCUAUUCUGUGUAGCUAUUUCAGUGAAGCAUAUUCAUGUCCAAGUCUCCAACUAAAGACAUGUUGGAUGGCACUAUAAGAGAUAGCUAUAUGUUAGCUACUCGGUAUUUAUGUGGCUUUUGAGGGAUCUUCAUUUAUUUUUCAGAUGUUAGCUUGCCAAAUUGUGAUGCCAAGGAACUAAAAUGAUAAUUCUCCUUCCAAUCAACUUGAAUAGACUUCGAAUCCGCUAGAUUUUAUUUCAUUGUGCUCAAUUCUAGAGGAUUUAAAGAGUGCCAACCAGUGUAAUUGGUAAAGUUCUAAGGCGUUAGUAUCGAAGCUCUAGAUUUGCAUCCCAUCCUCAUCCUGAUUUCUCUAAUCCUGAUUUUUUGAAAAUAAUAUAGGAUUUACAAUAAUUGUUAAUUUAUCAGCUAUAUCAAGGGCAAAUCAUCAGUUAAGGUUCAGUUUUAGUUAUGACUAAUUCCUUUAUACAUUAUGUUCAGAAGUAGCAGAUGUACUCUCCCCCGUUUGUGUGCCUGUAAUUUGUGGUAAACAAGUUUCUAGGGUUCCACUUGAGCUUAGCCAAAAGGCCAAGAAAGGUAUAUAGCUUCUGGGGCUCCAAUCAAAUAAAGAUGCCCGUCUAAUAGAAGAUGCAUCGUUUUAUUUUGUCUCCUUCUCUAUUAACUUUGAUCUAGUCUUGCUUGCAUGGUUACAUUUCAGGCUCAGCACAUGGGUGUGGCGGGACGGAAGAAAGCAUCAUUGGCUUACAUUCUAUGGCAGCUUCGACGAGCCAGAAAUUUGUCGGUAUUUCAGCUCAGAUAUCUUCAACACAAAGUCAUUUCCACCAUUCUGUGUUAGUGGAGGAAUGUUGGUCUACCAAUAGCUAGCUAAACAAUCAAUGUACCAAAAAAAAAAAAAGCUCAACACUCACAUCAGGGGUACUUUUUUUUCUCUUUUUUCCUCGAGGCAUCUUGUAUAACGGGUGUCCCACUAUUCCCACGGUUUGGUGUUUUUGAGGUGAGUUUUGCUGGCGCUUUGAAGCGGUAUGGCAGCACAGAUACUUUUUCGUAAUGAAAAAUUAUACUUUACACUAUAUGGAUCAUAUACACC